rnacentral:tRNA from 1 species
GCCAGAGUAGCUUAACAGAUAGAGCACGGCACUGAAAAUGCCUUGGAAGGGGUUUAACCCCCCUCUCCAGCA